rnacentral:snRNA from 1 species
AUCGCUUCUCAGCCUUUUGGCUAAGAUCAAGUGUAGAAUCUGUUCUUAUCAGUUUAAAGAUGGUAUGAGGAUUUAAUGAGUUAACCUAUGUCAAUCACUUAGCAAAGUGCCUGUCACAAGUCACUGCCAUAGAUGUGUUUGCUCUUAUUAUCUGCAAAAGAGUUCCUAAGUCU